rnacentral:sRNA from 12 species
UGGCGUUGAAUCGGUGGGUUGUUUCGGGGUGCAGUCCAUCGUGGAGCCAGCCCGAGGGUUAUGUGUUACCUCAAACCGAAUAGGCAUUUGCCGAAAGAAAACACUUUAU